CUCAGAGAACCCCAACAAUCCUUAGAUCGCACUUUGAGAACCACUGCCGGAAGCACAAGUCAUCCAAGAGUUAGAAAAGAUAAAGUAAAAUCCAGAGCCUGGCAGAAGAGAAUUUCAAAUUAGCUUCAGACCUUUGGGUAGAGGGUCCUCAUGAGAAGGAGGCUGGAUUUCUGACCUGCACCAGAACAAUAAGGAAUCAUGAACUGGAGGGAUUCCAUGGGAACUGGAAUGACCUCCAGGAAGUGAUGCAGAGUGAGAGGAGCAGAACCAGGAGAACAUUGUACACAGAGAUGGAUACACUGUGGUACAAUCGAAUGUAAUAGACUUCUCUGCUAGCAGCAACUCAAUGAUCAAGGACAAUUCUGAGAGACUUAUGAGAAAGAACACUAUCCACAUUUAGAGAAAGAACUGUGGGAAUAGAAACACAGAAGAAAAACAACUGCUUGAUCACAUGGGUCGAUGGAGAUAUAAUUGGGGAUGUAGUCUCUAAAUGAUCACCCUAGUGCAAAUAUCAAUAAUAUGGAAAUAGGUCUUGAUAAAUGAUAUGUGUAAAACCCAGUGGAAUUGUGUGUCAACUACAAGAGGGGGGAGGGGAAGGGGAGGGAAAGAACAAGAAUCUUGUAAUCAUGGAAAAAUAUUCUAAAUUAACUAAUUAAAUGAAAUUUUCAAAAAAUAAAAAAUAAAUUUAAAAAAAGUUUCCCUUUAGC
rnacentral:lncRNA from 1 species